rnacentral:rRNA from 1 species
GAUGAACGCUGGCGGCGUGCCUAAUACAUGCCAGUCGAGCGAACAGACGAGGAGCUUGCUCCUCUGACGUUAGCGGCGGACGGGUGAGUAACACGUGGAUAACCUACCUAUAAGACUGGGAUAACUUCGGGAAACCGGAGCUAAUACCGGAUAAUAUAUUGAACCGCAUGGUUCAAUAGUGAAAGACGGUUUUGCUGUCACUUAUAGAUGGAUCCGCGCCGCAUUAGCUAGUUGGUAAGGUAACGGCUUACCAAGGCAACGAUGCGUAGCCGACCUGAGAGGGGGAUCGGCCAAACUGGAACUGAGACACGGUACAGACGCCUACGGGAGGCAGCAGUAGGGAAUCUUCCGCAAUGGGCGAAAGCUUGACGGAGCAACGCCGCGUGAGUGAUGAAGGUCUUCGGAUCGUAAAACUCUGUUAUUAGGGAAGAACAAAUGUGUAAGUAACUAUGCACGUCUUGACGGUACCUAAUCAGAAAGCCACGGCUAACUACGUG